GGGAAAUAUAAUUACGAAAAUACAAUAUACAAAAGCAGCUUCUCAUGAACAGAUUGAAUGAUAGUUUUCUAUUGUUAUGUGAUAGAUACUGAGUUUUCUAUUGUUAUAUAUGAUAGAUACUGAGUUUUCUAUCUUUACGUAGUACAGAAGAUUUAUAAAACAGAAGGUUUAACUUGCAGGCGGUUUAACUUGCCACGAUUGAUAUGCUUUAUACCUUCGGAGUAAACGAUAAAAAUUCAUAAUUCAUAAAAAAGUCACAGGCACGCUAAGAUAAUUUCAAUAAAAUAACGUAGCCUACCACAUAAAAAUUGUGCAAUACUGCAAAUCAUUCAUAUGACAACAAAAAUCAAUAACAAUCGAUAUAUGUAAAGCAACAAGUUUAUGUUCACUUUUGCGCGAAAAGGCAUUCGUAGGCUUCGUACCUCCACCAACAAAUAAAGUUAUGUAUCAUAUACAUAAAUUUAAUAUACCACGGAGGCAAUUGCAUGCAUUCUGCCCGACAAAGCAAGGCAAACUUUUUGUAAUUUUCCAACACACUUUCAUCCAAAUUUAACCAAAAUUAAAUAGAUUUGUCCAUGAACAAUGUCCAUUAGUCGCACAAAUCGUCGUUUGAAUAUACGUUUGAUAGUUUUUGAAUUUUCGUGCUAACAAACGAAGACGAAACAUCUGCGUUUGUACGUGUGUGCACGUGACUGGCGAAGGUAUUUCGACCUACCAUGCUUCCACCACCUCCCAUAUCUGUGCUUAUAUAUGUAAGAAAGUAAUGAUUUGGAGGUGGGGUAUUGCCUGCAUAAUAUUUCAUGCGCUUUAUAUGGUAAUGUUAAAGUUAAUAAGUAUAUUCGUGCUUGUGCGAAGUGCUGUGAAUAUAUAGGUUUCGACGAACCGUGCUGAAUGUUCGAUAAAAGUUAUCUUUUUAACCCGGAUAACUUCAACAAAUAUGUCAGAAGAUUUGUAAUCCAUACAUAACGUUGUGCCUGGAUUACAAAUCUUCAGACAGUUUGUUUCUACAUUUGGUGCAGUUUCUAGUUUUACUUCGGCAAUG